ACUCCUACGGGAGGCAGCAGUAAGGAAUAUUGCGCAAUGGACGAAAGUCUGACGCAGCGACGCCGCGUGGGGGAUGAAGGUCUUCGGAUUGUAAACCCCUUUCGGCAGGGAAGAUGGAACGGGCAACCGUUCGGACGGUACCUGCAGAAGCAGCCACGGCUAACUUCGUGCCAGCAGCCGCGGUAAUACGAAGGUGGCAAGCGUUGUUCGGAUUCACUGGGCGUACAGGGAGCGUAGGCGGUUAGGUAAGCCCUCCGUGAAAUCUCCGGGCCUAACCCGGAAAGUGCAGAGGGGACUGCUUGGCUAGAGGAUGGGAGAGGAGCGCGGAAUUCCCGAAUCUCCAGAGGAUCGCCGGGAACCGAGGACGA
rnacentral:rRNA from 1 species